ensembl:antisense Gm13524 predicted gene 13524
GAGUCCCACAAGCAGCGAGACUGCAGACUGCGGCGCUGGCUGGGGCCACUCCUCCCGCGACACUCCGAAACUGCUCCCCUUUCCCUUGGGAUUUCUAAGGGUUCGGACCAGCUAAGACCCCUCCCUUUAAGUCCAGCCCGGGGAAGGGGAGGCGGAGAGAGCCUUGCGGAAGCAGUGCCACAGGAAAACCCCGUGUCCCCUGCCCAGCUGGCAGGAGUGGCCCUGGCGGCGCGCGCCCAGCCGCUCCCAGGUACAAAAACACACCCGAGGCGCUUGCUGUUGUACCAUUUAUCUAUCAGUCACUAAUGAAUAUUAUUCUCCCAUAACUAUGUAUAAGCUAUGUAUAUGAAUUACUAUGGAUAUUCUGUAUACUGGAGCUGCACUCGUGCACAAGACAUGGAACAAAUCCAGUAGUUUCCAAAGUCCAAAUCUAAUUAGGAAAUACUACAGAAUCAACUCUGGACUCAGCAUCUCCUUCCUCCUGUCUACAUGGUCACAUACUGGUUUUCGAGGUUCCAUCUUUGCUAAUGAAGAAGGUUGCUUUGGAAAUACAGAACAAGAGUAGGAGACGUACCUCAGAGGUGGAGCACUUGCUUGUUAUAUGCAAGGUCUCCACUUUGAUCCCUGAUGGUGGAAAAUAAAAUAAAGUGCAAAGAAAAAAU